UUAUGAUGUAAAACAUGGUAUAAAAUCAGAAUGUAAAGUUGUUUUGAAAAAAUUGAAGAUUGAAGUAAAGACUGAAGAUUGUAAAGAAGUUGUUCAUCUUCCAGAUGAUAAUGAACAGGUAAUGCCAGUCAACAAUGAAUUCUUCACUCCGGACGAAGAUUUCAACAAUAAUGAAAUGAACAUCCAAAUUAAGGAGGAAGAGCAGAUUCAAGAAGAUAUUCUACACAACUGCGAAAGAGAAAAACAUUUUAAAUAUAAUAUCAAAACAAGCAAAUACGUUUUUUCCAGUAGGAAAUGC